UACGUAGGGUGCAAGCGUUGUCCGGAAUUAUUGGGCGUAAAGAGCUCGUAGGCGGUUUGUCGCGUCUGCUGUGAAAACUCGGGGCUUAACCCCGGGCCUGCAGUGGGUACGGGCAGACUAGAGUGCGGUAGGGGAGACUGGAAUUCCUGGUGUAGCGGUGAAAUGCGCAGAUAUCAGGAGGAACACCGGUGGCGAAGGCGGCCACCUGGACGGUAACUGACGCUGAGACGCGAAAGCGUGGGGAGCAAACAGG
rnacentral:rRNA from 1 species